UCAAUUCCUCCGCCCUAGUAGUCUUUUUGUAACAGCCUUCUUUCGGAGAGAAAAGCCCUAAAACUCUUGACUCUGGGGGGGAAAAACAUUACGGAAAAAUGAAAAUGAUGAAUUUCUGCGAAUAAUCAGGAAAUCUGAGUCUAAAAUCUCCCAAUACUGAGCUUUCUCGGGACGAAUUCAAGUUGAAAUCGGAUAGUUUCUAGGGUUUCAUUUUUUGUGUUUCUUCUGCAUGAUCCAUCAUUCCGAGGUCAGUCUUGCAUCGGCCUCAUUUUAUCUAAUUUGUUUGUUUUGCGAUUCCCUUUUGGACGGGAAGCUUUUUGAACAAAAGCCAAAUUGAUUUUGGAAUUAGUUUGUAUGGUGGGCGGCAGAUUCGUGGCAGGAGGUAUAGAAAUUAUAUAGGGAGACAGGGGAGGAGAAAGGAGAUAGGUCAGAAUUUAUAAUUUUUUAGUAUUUGCGUUGGAGGGUUUUUGACAUGCGAUUAACGCGGUCUGAAUCAGUUGGUAAGAGAAGGAAGGAUCAGAAACUCAGGAAUAAGUUUAAGGGUAAGAAAAAGCACAAGAGAUUAGACGCCAUUUGUGAAAAGGCUUACACUAGGAGCCAUAGAGGGGUUGAGAAGGUUGAAUCUGCUGACGUUAAUAAUGGAGGGAAUGAAUUGGAGCUCCGUAGAAGCAGUAGGACUCGUAGAGCUCCUGUGUUGCUGGAUUCUUCGCCUAUGCCACCCAAAAAGCGGCAGAAGAUUGAUAAGAAUGUGGCUUGUAGCGUUGAGAAAGUUAGGAGAAAGGAUGGGGUGCACUGCAAAACCCCUUGCUCAAGUUCAAGGGAUUUGGAUGGAUGCAAUGUUGGUUGGGUGUCGAGGUUGAGAUCUAGAGCAAAGUGUGCUGGUUUUUCUGAGAGGUGUAAGGGAGAGUCUUCAUUGAAGGGUAAGAGAAAGCUCUUUGAGGAUUCUGAUGGCUCUGGGGAUGAAAUGAAGCCUGAGAGUUGUGAUAAGAAAGAGAGUUUGGUGGGUGAGAAAUCAACAGUUGUUAGAUCAAAGAGGCCGGGAAGAAUUAAAGCUUCAAAUGGUUUGGCAAAUGAAAACCAGGAGAAGGAUUUGGGAGGUAGAGUGGAAGUUGGCAAAGAAAAGAAUACAAAUAAGUUGUUAGAAGAGAUGGGUGAGGUGGAUGGAUUGUGCUUGGAGUUUAAAUUGGAUUGCAGAAGUGAAGUUGGAGUAGACGAUUGCCAUGUGGCUUCAGAGUUGGCUGAGAGAGAGGAGACUGAAGUUCAAAGGGAUUCAGAUGUUGAAGGAUGCCAGAGCAAUGGCAAUGUGGAAGGAAGGAACGAGUCUGCGGAGCUGGAAAAAUUGGCAUGUGAUCUUGUACCUGAGCAAGAAUAUGUUGUUAAAGUUGACUGUGCUUCAUCUGAGCAAGAAAAUGUUGUUAAAGUUGACUGUGCUUCAUCUGAGCAAGAAAAUGUUGUUAAAGUUGACUGUGCUACAGCUGACCAAUCAAAAGAUGAGGCGCAUCCUGAUAAACCUCUUGGAGAUGAGACAUGUGAAAAAUCAAAAGGGAAAUACAAUACUUCUUUCGAUGCAGACAGCAAACCAAGAAUAAAGCUUGGAAGGCGCUGUGGUUUAUGUGGUGGUGGUACUGAUGGCAAGCCUCCAAAAAUACUUGUACUGGAAGGUGCCGGUAGUGAUAAUGAGGUAUAUAGUGGAUCAUCUGCUUCAGAGGAGCCUAACUAUGAUGUAUGGGAUGGAUUUGGUGAUCAAUCUGGAUGGCUUGGACGGCUUCUUGGUCCUAUUAAUGAUCGAUUUGGGAUAGCAGGAAUUUGGGUUCAUCAGCAAUGUGCUGUAUGGAGUCCAGAGGUUUAUUUUGCAGGACUGGGAUGCCUAAAAAAUGUUAGGGCUGCACUAUACCGUGGAAGGGUGCUGAAAUGCAGCCGCUGUAGGAGACCUGGAGCAACCAUAGGAUGUCGUGUUGAUCGAUGUCCAAAAACUUACCACCUACCAUGUGCACGAGCAAAAGGUUGCAUCUUUGAUCAUCGUAAAUUUCUUAUAGCAUGCACUGAUCAUCGGCGGCUAUUUCAACCACAUGGAAUACAGAAUGCACAGCGUUUGAAGAAAAUGAAAGCUAAAAAGUUGAAGUUGGAAUUACGCAAGAUGGCUAAUGAUGCAUGCCGUAAGGAUAUUGAAGCAGAAGAAAAAUGGUUAGAGAACUGUGGGGAGGAUGAGGAAUUUUUGAAACGUGAAAGUAAGAGGCUUCAUAGGGAUUUGUGGAGAAUUGCACCUACAUACAUUGGAGGUGAAAACUCAGAGGGCGAGAGACGAUUUCAGGGCUGGGAAUCUGUUGCUGGGCUGCAAGAUGUCAUUCGGUGCAUGAAAGAAGUGGUUAUUUUGCCACUCUUAUACCCUGAGUUUUUCAAUAAUCUAGGACUUACGCCUCCUAGGGGAGUUCUGUUGCAUGGAUAUCCUGGAACUGGCAAGACAUUGGUUGUGCGUGCACUAGUUGGUGCUUGUGCUCGUGGGGACAGGAGAAUAGCAUAUUUUGCACGCAAAGGUGCAGAUUGUCUUGGCAAGUAUGUUGGUGAUGCUGAGCGCCAGCUCAGACUUUUAUUUCAAGUUGCCGAGAAAUCCCAACCUUCUAUUAUUUUCUUUGAUGAGAUAGAUGGUUUGGCCCCAUGUCGCUCUAAGCAGCAAGAUCAAACGCAUAAUUCAGUUGUCUCCACGUUGCUUGCGUUGAUGGAUGGCCUAAAAUCUCGAGGUUCAGUUAUUGUAAUUGGAGCAACUAAUCGUCCUGACGCAGUUGAUCCAGCUCUAAGAAGACCUGGGAGGUUUGAUCGGGAGAUUUAUUUUCCUCUUCCUUCUGUUAAGGACAGAGAAGGGAUCCUCUCACUGCACACUCAGAAGUGGCCCAAGCCAAUAAGUGGGUCCCUAUUGAAGUGGGUAGCAAAGCAUACUGAGGGAUUUGCUGGUGCUGAUCUACAAGCUCUUUGUACUCAGGCGGCUAUAAUUGCUCUGAGGAGGAGCUUCCCCUUGCAAGAAGUUCUCUCAGCGGCUGAAACUAGUGCUGCAAACAGUAAAUGCCCAGCUAUUCCCGCAUUUGCAGUGGAAGAGAGAGAUUGGUUGAAGGCUCUCUCAUGUGCACCACCUCCAUGUUCUAGAAGAGAAAGUGGAAUUGCUCUGAAUGAAGUGGUCUCUUCACCUCUUAAAAUUCAUCUUCUUCCCUGUCUUCUGCAGCCACUAACAAGACUGCUGGUUUGCCUGUAUCUGGAUGAGCGCAUCUGGUUGCCAUCACAUCUUUACAGGGCUUCUAUAUUGGUGAAAAAUGUAAUUGUUUCUGCUUUAGAUAGCAGAAAAGUGCAAAGUGAUAAGUGGUGGUUGCACAUUAAUGGUUUGCUACAGGAAGUGGAUGUUACAAGUGAGAUUGAGAGGAAACUUUUGCUUGGAAAUAUUCUGGUUGAAGAGAGUGUCCCAUGCGGCUCUAUUGUCAUAGAGGAAUAUUCUGAUGAGGAUUGUUCAAAAAAUAUCCAUCACAAGUCUCAGUAUACGGGUGCUCGCCCUGGGUUGUUACAAACAAAGUCUACUGGAUCAUGUGAUAAACCAGGAUUUCAAUUGUUGAUUUGUGGAAGUCCGAGAUCUGGCCAGAGGCAUAUUGCUUCAUCUCUUCUCCACUGUUUCAUUGGCAAUAUUGAUGUAUGGAAAGUUGAUUUGGCUAGCAUCUCUCAUGAAGGACAUGGAGACAUGAUUCAUGGGCUAACACGGAUAUUGAUGAGAUGCACUGGUGCAAAUUCCUGCAUGCUAUAUUUGCCAACAAUUGAUUUGUGGGCUAUCGAGACAUGUGAUAAAGCCUCUGAAGAUGGCUGUGAAUCAUCUCCAAUGGAACCUCAGUCCCCUGGUAAGACAUCUUCUGGUGGGCGCUGGGAAGUUGACAUGGAAGAUGGACUAUAUCCAAGUGCUGAUGUAAUGGCAACACAGACUCAAACUGUAGUGAAGGUGGCCUCGUAUCUGUGGGCCUCUUUCAUUGAGCAGGUGGAGUCCAUGCGUGUGAAUUCCUCCUUGAUAAUUCUGGCUACGUCGGAAUUACCUUUUUCAUUGCUCCCUAAUAGAAUAAGGCAAUUUUUUGGGAAUGGGAUAUUGAGUUGCAGCCUCCCAAGGCCACUGAAUACUAAGGUGCCGCGGUUCUAUGUGCAGCUUGAUGCAAAAUUUAAUCAUGCCAAGGUGAUUACUUCUUUUGCUGCGAAGUUGUCAAAGGAUUUCGCGCAGCAUUUUGUUCUGUCACUUCAUGGUGGAAAUCAUUUUCAUGAAAACUCAGUUGAGGACAAAGCCUGUUAUGCUGUUGAAGGUGAUGCUGAUCGAGUUUGCCAUAAUAAAUCUUGCCAUGUCGGUCCGUCUAGUCCAGUUGGCUUUACAAAUAAAACUCUGAAAGGGAAACCAAACUUGCUGUUAGCAAUAUCAACAUUUGGGUAUCAGAUUCUUUGUUAUCCUCAUUUUGCUGAACUUUGUUGGGUCACAUCCAAGUUGAAAGAAGGUCCUUCUGCCAACACUGAUGGACCCUGGAAAGGUUGGCCCUUCAAUUCUUGCAUUGUCCGUCCUAUGAACUCAACAGAGAAGGUUGCCACUGCCUCUAGUUCUAGCAAUACCAAAACUAAAGAAUCUGGAUUAGUUAGAGGACUAGUUGCCGUUGGUUUAUCAGCAUACAGAGGUGAAUACACUUCUCUAAGGGAAGUAUGCUCUGAGGUUCGAAAAGUAUUGGAAACUCUGGUUGGACGAAUUGAUGAUAAAAUUCAAGCUGGGAAAGACAGAAGCCAGUUCGUUCGUCUUCUAUCACAAGUGGCUUAUCUUGAAGAUAUGGUUAUUAGUUGGGCGCAUGCAUUGCAAAGUUUGGAGGUGGAUACUCAUAUUUCAGAGGCAAACACCAAUACUUGUAUUGGAUCGUCUGACAAUCAUGUCCACAAGGACAGUACUUCUGAAUGUGACAAUGGAAUCAUACAGGGAUCAGAAGUGUUGGAAAAAAUGACUCAGGAAUUUGGUGCUAGAGAUGUUGGAUGUAAUCCAACAGAAGUUGAUAAUGGAUGUGCGGAUGCUGCUAACAAAGUUGCAGUAACAAUAGAAGAGCCUUCCCAUCAAGUUGUCUCCGCUGAUUGUUGCUCUCCUGAACACGUGUUAGCACCAACUGAGGUGAAGUUAGAGUCAUCUAAGGCUGAAGCCAUUGGAGAUAAUGCAGAAACGGGUCAUGUAUCUGUCAAACAUUGCAAUGGUUUCCUGGAGAGUAUUUCUGAUUUGGAGGCAGGCGGUCCCCAUGGUUCAGGUGAUAAGCCUGUUAUUGAGCUUUCUUCUGCUGCUGAAAUUUCUAGCCCGCCUAAUGGUCCGCCCUUGAUUGAUGAUGAAAUCCUGUCCAAAGAUACUGGUGAAAACUCAGGUGCAAAUAUUCUUGAUAUCAACAAUGCAUCAGAUCCUGGCAGUCUUAAAGGUGGUCCUGCUGUUACGUGCUUUUACCAGUGUUGUUCAGAAUGCAUUAUCAACCUCCACAAUUUACUGUUGAGAAUUAUAAAUAUCGAGUGGGGAAAGAAAGGAACUGACUCAACCGUAGAGGAUUUGAAUGAUUUUCUUUCCUCCUUGUCAGCAAAUCUUAUUUUGUUGCUUAGUAAAUUUCUCCAAUGUGAAAACCCCUCGGCUAUAAUAUGGGAAGAAGGUGACAACUAUAGAAAAUACUGUGAGUGUCGGGAUUUUCAGGUAACAGACACGCCUGAAUGUAAAAAUGCAGACAAAUUGUUGAUAAUGGAAUGUGGUUGUCAUGCAACGAGCAAGGGUACAACCAGCAAAGAAAAUCGUCCUGGGAUUUCUCAAGGGCUUAAUUCUAGGUUUGUUUUCAAGGAUGGUGUACUGGCUACUUUAGACACAGGUACUGAUGUUUCUUAUCAUUGUAAAUUUGAGAAUUUAUGCCUUUGUUUUCUUAUAGAAUGGUUGGUAACGAGCAAGAAGUCUUUUGAUUGAUACCAUGUUUAUAGCUUCAACACAUGUUGGUUUCCGCAAAUUUUGAUGCACUUGCGGAGUAUAGACGUCGAACUACACAGUGGGUGUUUUGGUUUCCAGCAGCCUAGCUAGCCUCUUGGAGAUCUAUUGGAAUGUUUGGAUUCCCUAAUGUUAAUAUCCUGAGAUUCUCAUAACUCGGUCAAUCCAUCUAAAACCGCAAAGCACACAAACGGCAACUUGGUUUUUUGUUUGUCUUUUUCUUUUUUGUUGAUAAAUUGUGAUAUUUAUAUAUAUAUAUUUGGAUGGUUAUAGAUCCUGUGCAGGUCCUAUUAUGAAUAUAGUCAUGUCAUGAGUCAAAUCUCACAUCUGAUAGGGAUGCUCUCACCAAUUUAUUAUUGCAGUCUAUAU